GGGGGUGUAGCUCAGUGGUACAGCAGUUGCCUAGCAUGUGCAAAAAGCCCUGGGUUUGAUCUCCAGCACCACAA
rnacentral:tRNA from 1 species